rnacentral:lncRNA from 1 species
UGUCUAUGUGUCAUACAAUGACAGACCUUUGAAAUGAAUUUUUAAUGAAGCUUAAUAUUAUUCAUCAACAUUCUACAUUCGUUCAAAAUAUUCUGACAUAGUUGUAUGAUUAUGUUGGAUAUUUUAGUCAUGAAUAAUAAAUGUUUCUAUAUCAUUACAUAUGGUUUAGCCAUGUACGACAUCAUGUAUAUUUGAUCGAUGGAAACUCAGCUGAAGCAUGACAGUUAUCUUCCUUGAAAAACACAAAUCAUUUCUAUGUGAGAGAACUUAUGCCUUAAACGGGGUCGAAAGAUAUCAGAGGGACAGUCAAACUCAUAGAUAGAAAAUAAACUGACAACGCAAUGGCUAAAAAAUAAAAAGACAAACAGACGAAUUAAAGUAUACACAACAUAACAUAGAAAACUAAAGACUAAGCAAAACGAACCCAACCAAAACUGGAGGUAAUAUCAGAUGCUCCGAAAUGGUAAGCAGAUCCUGCUCCACAUGUGGCACCCGUC